rnacentral:piRNA from 1 species
CAGGAGCUAAACGGUCUUGACUGGGG